rnacentral:rRNA from 1 species
GCCUUAUACAUGCAAGUCGAACGAAGUAGCAAUACUUAGUGGCAGACGGGUGAGUAACAUGUGGGUAUCUUCCCUUUGGUGAGGAAUAACACGAGGAAACUUGUGCUAAUACCUCAUAAGUCUUUACGGAGAAAGCUUUAUGCGCCAAUGGAUGAGCCCGCACUUGAUUAGUUUGUUGGUGGGGUAAAGGCCUACCAAGACUUUGAUCAAUAGCUGAUCUGAGAGGAUGAUCAGCCACAUUGGGACUGAGACACGGCCCAAACUCCUACGGGAGGCAGCAGUAGGGAAUAUUGCACAAUGGAGGAAACUCUGAUGCAGCGAUGCCGCGUGAGUGAAGAAGGCCUUUGGGUUGUAAAGCUCUUUCGUCGGGGAAGAAAAUGACUGUACCCGAAUAAGAAGGUCCGGCUAA